rnacentral:rRNA from 1 species
GACGAACGCUGGCGGCGUGCCUAAUACAUGCAAGUAGAACGCUGAAGGAGGAGCUUGCUUCUCUGGAUGAGUUGCGAACGGGUGAGUAACGCGUAGGUAACCUGCCUGGUAGCGGGGGAUAACUAUUGGAAACGAUAGCUAAUACCGCAUAAUAGCAGUUGUUGCAUGAUAACUGUUUGAAAGGUGCAAUUGCACCACUACCAGAUGGACCUGCGUUGUAUUAGCUAGUUGGUGGGGUAACGGCUCACCAAGGCGACGAUACAUAGCCGACCUGAGAGGGUGAUCGGCCACACUGGGACUGAGACACGGCCCAGACUCCUACGGGAGGCAGCAGUAGGGAAUCUUCGGCAAUGGACGGAAGUCUGACCGAGCAACGCCGCGUGAGUGAAGAAGGUUUUCGGAUCGUAAAGCUCUGUUGUAAGAGAAGAACGAGUGUGAGAGUGGAAAGUUCACACUGUGACGGUAUCUUACCAGAAAGGGACGGCUAACUACGUG